GAUGAAGAACGUAGCGAAAUGCGAUACGUAAUGUGAAUUGCAGAAUUCAGUGAAUCAUCGAAUCUUUGAUCGCAUAUUGCGCUCUCUGGUAUUCCGGAGAGCAUGCUUGUUUGAGUAUCAGUAAACACCUCAACUCCCUUUUCUUUUUUGAAAUUGGAGCUGGACUUGAGUGAUCCCAACGCUUUCUUCCAAGAAAGUGGCGGGUUGCUUGAAAUGCAGGUGCAGCUGAACUUUUCUCUGAGCUAUAAGCAUAUCUAUUUAGUCUGCCUAAAAAACAGAUUAUUACCUUUGCUGCAGCUAACAUAAAGGAGACUAGUUCUUGUGCUGACUGAUGCAGGAUUCACAGAGACAGCUUCGGCUGACUUUGUAAACUCGAUCUCAAAUCAAGUAAGACUACCCGCUGAACUUAAGCAUAUCAAUAAGCGGAGGA
rnacentral:misc_RNA from 1 species